rnacentral:rRNA from 1 species
GUGUCAGCCGCCGCGGUAAGACAGAGGUGGCUAGCGUUGUUCGGUAUCACUGGGCUUAAAGCGUGUGUAGGCGGGAGCGUAAGCAUUUUGUGAAAUCCCCCGGCUCAACCGGGGCAUUGCUUGAUGUACUGCGUUCCUUGAGGCAAGUAGGGGUGCGAGGAACUCUUGGUGGAGCGGUGGAAUGCGUAGAUAUCAAGAGGAACGCCGAUGGUGAAGACAUCGCACUAGGCUUGUCCUGACGCUGAGACACGAAAGCGUGGGGAGCGAACGGGAUUAGAAACCCGCGUAGUCC